rnacentral:lncRNA from 1 species
GUCGCUGUCGAGAAGAUGGGAUCUCCGUAUGCAACAUUUGAUGGUGAUUAGUUAGGGUCUCCAGAGAUUUUAGUUAUUUCCUUUUGAUUCUCCCGUUUUCUUCAUUAAUAUGUGCUGAUUCCAUUAUUCUGAUUCAGACUGGGACUCGUUACCCUCCAAUGUUCCCUUUAAUUUUCACCCGGAGAGCACCAAGGCAACGGCGCGAGGGGAUUUCCAUGGUCCGUCCACUGUCGCCCCUUCAACCCGUUCUCCACCCUUUUUCAGUCCUCUUGUUUUCUCCUGCCAUCUACGAUUUACUCCCAUGCCUUGUAGUCUAGUCUUAGGCCAUUUUGUGGUGUGGAUUUGGGGGUGGAUCACAUUUUUGUGUUGUCUAUGGUAGUUUACUCAUGGCGACCGUUGAGGCAAUUCAUACAGGUAGCUAGCUAACCAAUUUUUUGAUAGUUUCAUUCUGCCCCACACCAUUGAGGUAACUGAAUAUAUUUGCAGGGUUUCAGCAAGUUUUCACAUAUGCGAAGCAACUUUAUCAUAGGGUCAUGUGAUUUGCUCAUCUCUGAGUUCCACGAUAAAUGCGACAUACAAUGCAUGUGAGAAUUUCGUGUGUUCAGGGUUACAAGUGCGACAGUUUUGCAGGUUGACAUCAUGUAAUAAUAUCUUUUUUCUGAUGCGUGUCUAGCGGUCCUAUUUCUGAGUGGCGCCUGGAUUGGUAGUACCUGUAGCCUGGAUUGCUAGAAUACUAUCUUUUUGUAGGUUUAUUUUUUGCGCUUACAGGAAUGUGUGUAAAUAAUACAAUUCAACAGGCAUUAUGCAUCAUCAGGCAUUGAUAAUACCAUUUUUUUGUUCAGUGGUUAUAGCAACACACAAAGUAGUUCUGAGUAGUUUGAGUAACAUUUAAACUAAAUUAACACUAGUUAUAGUAACAUGUGCAGAUAAUAGCAUUUUUUAUAGUCAGAUUCAUGUUGCUUUUCAAGGAUUUUUUUAAUUUUUUAGUUAGAACACCAUCACGCGGGUGCCGUCGCUGCCUGAUGGCCAUUUGUUUUUAGCUAGCCUACUCUACUAUCAUAUACUGAAUAUGCAUGCACUACUUGUUAGCUAUCCAGAAGUCACAUUGAUCUGUAUUUUUGUUACAUUACAUGUGCUCUAAUGUCUUUCCUUUUCUUUCAUAUCUGGUUGCAGCUUAGGCACUGGCUUGAGGACAAAGAUGUCCGCUUGGUGGUGUGUCAUCAUCCAAUGUGGUACGUAUAGUAUGGUAUAUGCAUAUUCCUUAGUACUAAGUUUAUAAUUUUGGCAAUUAUAUGAGCCACUAUGCAACAAGGGUGUGCCAGUUCUCAAUGAUCGAGGUCAAAGAUAUUAGGUUCUAUAAUUCAGCAAUUUAGGUCCUACGAUGAAGCAUUGUAGGCUAUACAAUAUAGACAUUUAGCAACCAUGGAUAAGCAAGUUUGGGCGUAUGAUCUAUAAAUUAAGAAUUUAUAGCUUAUCAGUUUAGCUUUGUGUAAAAGGUGAAGCUUUUAAUUUUGCUAUUCAUAGCCUAGAUGCUAUUAGAACUCCGUUUCCUGCAGCAGCAGCAUUUGAUGAUCCAACGGUCUCAGCUGCUGCAAGAACAGAAAUAACAACACACAGGAAGAGGCUAGGUCCUGACGUUGAACGGGGCAUUCAUGUUACUAUAAAUCAUGUACAAAGUGUGUUUCUCUCAUUUUAUGCAAAGUGCUAUUCUUGGUGGCAAAGUACUAUUCUCAGUUAGUCAAAGUAUUAUUCUUAGACAAAUCACUGUUAGUAGUUAUGCAAAAUCACCUCAUCCAACUUAUUUUUUGUUUUGUUUGCCCUUCUUCUUAUCUGCUACAUGCUAACUGAUUUGGUAUUCUUUGUUUCUCAUUGUAUGGCAGUCAUGAGCGUAGCAGAUCGGUUAUGCAAGUAUGAAGACUUGUAAUGUGCAUUUUGUGAUAAUAUGUUGAUGCUCUUUUUUUAUCUGUUACAUACAGUUGAACCUAUUCAGAGUAGUUUUGUUGGUAUGUUUUGAUCUUGGUGAAAUUGUAUUGGCGUGGACAACAAGCCGGCUUUUGCUAUGUCUCUGUCCUCGAGCCAAGUAGUCCAAUAUUAAAAAAACAGUUUAGUACCAUAGGCAAUAAUAGGGUUCUAAUUAUGCAACUUUAUUGUUAUAAAUAAGCAAAACAAUAUUCUUGGUUAGGCAAAGUUAUGAUUCUGAAGUAGGCAAUAAUAUGAGCAGACCAUAAUAUGGGCAGGAAUUGGGAAAUAUUAUGGUUCUGGAUUAUACAACUAUAUACUUCAUUAGGCAAUAAUACGGUUGUGAUUAGGCAACAGCAUAGUUCAGAAAUAGGCAAAAUAAUAUACUUCAUUAGGCACCGAUUCACUGUGAUUUUUCCUAAUUCAUUUUGAUUGGUUGCCUUCAGUAAUAUGUCACAUACAACUACCAACACUGAGAAGAUACUUCUUUAGCCUGAUCUGAUCUAUUUUUUCUAGUAUGCACCACAUUGAGAGGAAACAUGGAAGUACAUAUUCGAAUUCCAUUAGGAAAUUAUAUGGUUCUUAAUUAGGAAAUAAUAUGGUACUGAAAUAGGGAACAUAGUGUACUUUGUUGGAUAAUAUUAUUGAACAUCUAAUUUUCAGCACGUCAUAUUGAAAUAGCAGCACUCCUGCUAUAUCUAAAAGCAAGUUCUUUUAGAACUAUUGUUCAGAUUUUUAGUCUGAUCUGACCUAUUAUUUUGGCCUUGGUACUAUAUGUUCAUUAAUUAUCUCUUUCUCUUGUCAUCACAUCCCAGGUCAUCAAUGUAUUCAGCAGGGGAUGCUCAAAUGGUGUGCAGUAAUAAGCAAAACAAAGUAAAUCCUCGAGUAAUAAUCAAUAUUGCGGGACAUACUGGGAGUACAUGCAGUGUGCAGAUCUACUAUUAAGUUUUUCAUAUUUGGAGAUAUAUAGGGCCUGUUUGGCAUGGCUCCACUCCAAAACUCCAGCAACUCCACCAAAAAAUCUAGCCAAACACCUCAACUCCAAAACUCCAUGGAGCAGCCAACUCCAUGGAGCUGUAGUGCAAAUGGAGGUGGAGUUUUGGAGCACCUCUUUUGCUGCUCCAAAACUCUCGAUUUCGAACCUCCUCGUGGAGUUGAUGGGUAAUUACCCACCAAUGCCACUGGUUACACAAAAAAAACGUUUCAUUCUGUUCCUCCCGAGCUCCCACCCGUGCCUAUUUCCCCACCCCCGUCACCUGUGGCCUACCGCCUCCCCGCCGCCCAUUGCCGCCCCGCCUGAUGCCUCCCCGCCGCCCGUCGCCGCCGUCGCCGAGCCCCACCAGUCGCCGAGGCCCGCCCGUCGCCGCCCUACCCCUGUCGCCGCCGCCACCGGCCCCGUGGCUGCCUCCCCGCCGCCCGUCGCCGCCCCGCCCCGUCGCCCAUCGCUUCCCGCCCCCGUCGCCCGUUGCUGUCGAGCCCCGCCGCCCGUCGCUGCCGAGCCCCGCCGCCCGUCGCCUCCCCGGCCUCGUGGCCGCACAGCCCGCCGCCACCCGGCCCCGCCGCCGCCCCGGCCCCGUGGCCGUCCAGGCCACCGCCGACCACCGCCGGCCGGUCCCGUCGCUGCCCCGGCCCCGGGGCCGCCCAUAGGAGACUCCGGGCCGUCGCGGUGGACAAGGGAGGGGCGCAGCUCCGCGUCGAGCUCGUCGUGGCCGAUGACGCCAGUGGCGGUCGCGGCAGCGCGUCCGUGGCGUACGGCGAGGAUGUCGCUGCCAGUAUCUUCGAGGUAGGCACGCAGUUGUUCGUCAGGGCGUAUGACAAGUGGGGCUUGAAUUGGGGGGGCAACAAUGGCAAUCUACACUGAAAUCGAUCUUUUUUGGAGCUGAGAGCACCCAUCUAGCCAAACACCCCAUUUUAUUUCUGGAGUUUUGGAGUGGAGCUGGCUCCACCUGGAGUUCUGGAGUGGAGCAGCUCCACCUAGAGCUGGAGCCAUGCCAAACAGGGCCAUAAUAGGUGUACAGCUCAGCCUGCGCAGUUCUAAGACGUUAAAUGUGGCAGUCACUUAUCCUAUUUUGAUUCAGAUUUGCAUGGGGAAAGCAUUUUCAAUGGGGUCUGAUGUUAUGUGUUCUGAAGUGUCUGAAGGAAGAGUUCUAUUUGUUGCCUGAUAUUUGAGUUCUAAGAUGCCUGAUGACACUGUUUAUUAUUUGUCUAAAUCACAUGCCUGGUGCUGAAUGAUGCCUGAUGAAUGUUCUGUGUGUUGAUUCUGAAUUUCUUGGGUGAAAAAAUUAAUUUUUCUGAGCAAUGAUUUGGAUGAUGUUUAUGCCGUUUUUAAGCAGUAUAGAUGAAUCAGGUGGAAGGAAUUGAGGUGCGGACGGCAUCAGAGAAAAGGGUGCAGCCAUGCGGGGAAGGAAAAAAGCGUGAAAACAGUAAAUUUACUAAUAUAGGAAAGCGUGCCGCUGGUGUGGGUUAGCUCUUUCCUAAUCGGGGGUGGCCGUACGGCUGGCCUAACUUAGGGCCGGCCCUACGUAGCCAGGUCCAAAUUAAAUUGAACUCCUUUACGUCUGUGCUAGGUUCAUAACAUUGUUCCGCCCGUUAAAAAUAGGUCAACAGAUAAAAUAAUUAUUCAAAUUUUCUAGAAUGACAAAUAUGUGUUUAAUUUAUUUAAUAUAUAGUUAAUUCUCCAUUGAUCCAAAAGCUGUGAAGCUUCAACAGAGCAUAUAAGAAGGAAGCUAGCAAAUAGUACACAACAUAAUGUAACAUACAUCGCCUACUUAAUGUUUUAUUGUCUUUUGAAAAGGUAGGUGAAUAGAUUUGCUUUUUGUUUGAAAAGGAGAUGAAUACAUCUAAUCUUAUUUUUUAUUUGAUCUCUUAGGUGCUGAUAUCCUCAACAAGCGUGUAAAAUCUCAGCCACGCAAAGUCAUAUUCCAACAUUUUUUUUUAAUUUUGGUUACAAGUUCAGACUUUGACUUAGCAAAUGUGACUUCUGAUCAACUUCGCUAGCAUAUGAAGCCUAGAUUCCAUGGAGCUACACGGAAAGGAGGGAUUUAGCUAAGAGUAGUCAGGGGGUAUUUGUUUCUUUAGUCCCUCCUAAAAUUUAUGUCACAUCGAAUGUUUAGAUACUAAUUAGGAGUAUUAAAUAUAGACUAAUUACAAAACUAAUUGCACAGAUGGAGACUAAUUUGCGAGACGAAUCUAUUAAGCCUAAUUAGUUCAUGAUUUGACAAUGUGAUGCUACAGUAAACAUGUGCUAAUGAUGGAUUAAUUAGGCUUAUUAGAUUCGUCUCGUGAAUUAGCAUCCAUCUGUGUAAUUAGUUUUAUAAUUAACUCAUAUUUAGUCCUCCUAAUUAGCCUCCGAAUAUUCGAUGUGACAUAAAUUUUAGGAGGUUCUAAAGAUCCAAACACCCCCUUAGCUAUAUUUGAGUGGUACUCCAUUCGAUAUUUUGCUUUAUCCUAAGUCAAAUUAGGCUACGUUUGACCAAAUUUAUAGAGCAUCUAACACAUUAAAUAAGUAAAUUAUGAAAAUAUAUUUCAUAAGAAAUCUAAUUAUGCACAUUUGACAUUCUAAAUAUUAUUGCUUGUUUUUUAAAUUUGGUCAAACUUGAAAUGGUUUGACUUAGGACAAACUAAAAUGCUUUUUAUUUCAGGGCGGAUGGUGUGUGUGUAUUAAUGAUGCCAUACUAAAAAAACUUUGUUACAUGCAUAAGCAUAACUAUCUAUACUACACAGGACUAUUAACGGGUCAUAUGGCGGCCCAAAAGGGUGUUGCUGUCCUGCGCUCACAAGGUGAUGGCUCAGCAAUCCAGGGCGCCCCCACUGGCCCUGAUGCCACCCAUCCAGGAAGACACUCCAGACGAGGAGAGGGCACCGACGCGCCGUGAUGAAAAAUGGGAACAAAGACUAAAGACUCUUAUCCUGCCUGUUGUAUACCUUAGACUCUACCGUCUGUAAUCUUCCCUCCUGUUAAACAGUUAAAACGUUGGUUAAAGCCAGUGGCGGGUGCAGGAUUUGAACUAUGGGUAUUUAAAAUUGCAGAUGGCA